UUCCGUCUAUUGAAAUUUGAAGUCGAGACUUGUUUGUUUGAAUCUGUUCUUCAGGAUGCUACUUUGAAGAUAAAGUUCUGCGAAUCGGUUUCGUGAUAUCCAAGUAAAUUCGCAUCCGAUUUUAGCCAUCGUCUUCUUGCAAUGUGAAUAUGUGUACUUGAUAAAGCAAUUUGCAGCGAAGUGAUGGGGAAGCAAGUUGACUUUCUAUCGUUUCUAAUGCACCUUUUGAAAACAGAAAGCUCGACUGUGGGAGAUCAGAAACGGGUCCCAAUGGAAAUGUCAUACAUUCACCGCCUCCUUUUCACACCGUUCACCGCGCGUCAAAUCCAAUUGAUUUGUUCCCUACUGCUUUUGCACAUUCACUUUACUACGUUCUUCGACCUUCUCCAGUCGCCGCCGCCACCUUAGAGCCGUAUACCACCACACUUCAGCCAAACCAGCGCGAGAAAUGGGAUUGGCUUUUCACUCUCUGUCAAUUUCCGCGAUGGCAAGAAAAUCGAUCCACAUUAAGCCAUGUGGCCACCACUAUUAGGUAUAUUAUGCAGCGAAUAUAUUACGCUCUGUGCAGAUUUGAUUCGUUUCGUCCCUUCCUGCGCGCUUCGUGUGUUCGGUUGCAACGGCUGCUGCUGCAACCCCGUUUUACGUGAGCGUCGAAAAGUUAUAUCUGGAUUUCACUCAAGCACACACGGAAGAACGUUCAAUUGAUUAAAACGGUGCGCUCCUCUCGUCGUCGUCGUCGUACCACACGCUACGCGUUACGAAAGAGGUUUGUGAUAUUCGCGACCACCACCGAGUAAAUACUUCUAACUUCCACGAUCGUCGCUGACAGACUGAGCAUAAAGGUUGCGUAAAAUAUCGUCCACAGUGUUUGAUUCUCAGAGCUGCUUUCGACCCAAGCGCGGAGAGUCAAAAAACCUUACAAAUGUGGUUUCGCGCGAUAUCUGAGGUAAAAAAACAGGGAAAAGGGGAAAAAAAGAGUGCAAGCGUAAGCUCUCUGCAUCUCUCGCGCUCUUUCUUCUCCUUGUUUUUUUUCUGCCAUGUUUGAGUAUUUUUCGUAGCACAUGGUCUAGCGGCCGCGUGACGCAUCUCAAUGAACCGUGGGGAACCCUAAAGAAGGCAUGGAAACGAAUAUCAGAUAGAACCGGUCCACGGGGGGAGGUGAGAAGUUGUGUCAAUGGGAUGAAACAGUUUGUAUUUGAACAAUUGUAAUUUUAUUUAAACGGGGAAUUCCUGACUGGGUGGAUAACAACACUAGGGAAGUUUAUCAGUAAACAAAUAGUAUAUUCAUUUGAAUAUAUCAUCAAUUAAUCAGUAGAGAAUAUAGUUAGUA